rnacentral:lncRNA from 1 species
AUGUUUCAUGCAAUGAUCAAAGAAUCAGAAAUCACAGAAAAAACAGGUGCAAGUAUUCAUAGAAGAUUCCUGCCCCUGUCCAGGAAAAGCAAGCUCAGUAAGAACAACGGGAAAAGUGGAGUUCAGAACACAUUUGAACUUUUCUCAAACUUCAUUCAGUAGAAUAUAAAUGAUUAAUUUUAUGACAUAACUUUUUUAAAAAUCUUGUAAUUGCUCUUAGUAUUAACAUUUAAAAAAACUUUGGAGUAAACUUAAAAAUGAGAAUAAAAAACAUCAAAGGAAAUAUCAUUUGCAAUAACUUAAGCUUGUUGAACUAAAUAAUCUAUGAACGGAACAGAACAUCACUCCUGCAACAUUCCUGCCAAAAAAGUAUAACCCGAAGCUAAUCAUGUGGAAACAUCAGACAAACCCAAAACUGAGAGACAUUCUACAAAAUAUCUUGCCUGUAAUGUUAAAAAAAUAAAAGAUGAAGAAAGAACAAGUUUCAGAUAAAAGGACAGUAAAGAGAUAUGACAACCUAAUACAACAAGCGAUUCUGGUUUGAUUCCUGGAGUAGAAUAUUUUUUUUUCCUCCAUAGAGGACUAACAAGACAAUCAGGAAAACAUGAAUUAGGUCAAAAGAUUAGAUAACAUAUUGUAUCUAUAUUAAUUUCUUACAUUUGAUUAUUUUUCUGUGAUUAUUUAAGUGAAUUCCCUUGGUUUUAGAAAAUCUAGACUAGAAAAAAUUACUUAGGAAAAGCUAAUGUAAUAUAAUGCUAAUAUUUGGGGAGUUUGUAAUUAAGAGACACAAGGGAAUUUAUCAUCUACCUACAGAUGGCUUCUGAAUUUCAAGAGUUCUACUUAAUAAUUUUUCGGUGGUGUGAAAGUGAUGUGCAUUGGGUAGAAAUCAUAUUUAGAGGUUUGAAUUUUGAUCUUUUU